rnacentral:lncRNA from 1 species
AAUCAAAAGUAAUCCAUUUAUUAAAAUCCACAAUUAAUUCAAUGUAUUUUCAUGAGUUGCCAACAAAUGGUCAACUAGUAUUCAGUGACAAAUAGACAAAACAUACAAGAGUCCUAUGACUAAAUCGCAUAUUGGCAAGUUGCUUUUAUCCUUUGGAGGUUUUGCUCUUUCUCUUGUGUGAGUUAAGCUUUUCUCCAUGAUCAUUUUUUGAAAUCAGCCUGUUACAAUAAUCACAAAGAUCAAAAAUAGAACGUAUAUAAUAUAACUUGCUCAGAGAUUGGAAGAUCUCUAAAGAAAUUCUCUUAAGUUAAUAGUAACUAACCGAGAAUACCUAAUAAAACAGUUAAAUGUCUAGUGUAAUAUAAAAAACUCACCUUUGAUAAACUCAUGUCUGACAAAGCAUAAACUACUGCCCAAUUAAGCAAUUUUGAGUCUUAUCUUGUGAUCUGCACAAAAGACAAUAUAAAAUUACU